rnacentral:lncRNA from 1 species
UUUUGAAGAAGUGAAGUUUCCAAGACGGGUGGUCCAAGGAAUGAUACUGGUUAACAGAGGCAUUAUGCAAAGAUGGUUGAAAAAGCCUCCGAAAAGGAUAAAAAAGAGGGGCAUAUUCCACAUAACUUUAUCUUCUUAGCUUCAGCUUCAGCUACAUGAAUACAUGAAAGUGAGAGAAAAUACAAAGGGAUGCUAACUAUAAGCAAAGACUGGAUAAGAGUAAUCUGCCACCCAAAGAGAAAAACUCUCCCUUCCAACAAUCUAACCACUUUGAGAUCUUAUACCAGACCCCAAAAGUACAAAGCACAAGGAUUAUCUUGCAAAGGGAUGCCAGAAUAGGUCAAUAGGCACUGAAGAAUUUGACAUCUUACUAGAAAUGCAAAAGCAUUUAAAAACUAUUUUACAUUCACACUCCCUAAACUUCUUUUAGACAAGUUAAUCUUAAGACCAUAAAUGUCCUGCAAAAAGAUCUGAAUAGACAAAAUAUUAAUUAAAGAGUCAACAUCUGGUUCCAAGAAAAACAUUGUGUAAUCGUUAAUUUGAAAUCCCUUGUAAAUCAACUUAAUCCCUUAACCAAUUUGUUCUUAACAACUCUAAAGACUGAACUACUAAGCACAUCGACCACAAGAAAAAGAGGAACACAGAUAAAGGAUCUCCUUGCCUCAGAUCUCUCUGACCCUUAAACCAAGAUUUAGUUUCACUGUUCAGAAUAACAGCAAAGGUGGAGGAAAAUAGGCCACUAGGGUGAUAGAACAUAGAAGUUGACAUAUGUUGUGAAGCUUUUCUUAAUGUCUCAAUUGUUAAUCUUAGCAUUUUUAUUUUUCUCCGUUUUGUCCAGGUUUCUUGUUAUGCUUGUUAUUGAAUGUGGAGAAUAUUUAGCAAAACUGUUGCAAGAUGAAUAUAUCAUGUUGUAUUUUGCUUCAUCCUUUUAAAUUUACACCAAUGCCCAUGUAUAUAUCAUUUCCUUUCAAGACUUGGUUCAAUAAACAAAUUGUUGUCAUUGCAUUAUCAAAGGGAUAGUGGGAUGACCACUAUAGCGAAGAUUAGGGAAACAAUUUAGGUAAUUAUAUUAUAUACAUAAAGGGCAGCCCAAUGCACAAGGCUCUGACCUGAUGAGGUAUGGGAAGGGUAAAUGUGUGUAGUCUUACUGUCUUAUCCUUACAAGUGAAGAAAUUGUUUUCAAGAUUUGAACCCAUGACCUCUGGGUUAGAAGAAGGGUGAAGGUCGCAGUGUCUCAGUUUCAAAGAAGAAUGCAGAGCUGAGGAACAGAAGAGUGCUACUCAGGUGUAGAAGAAGAAUGCAGCUGGUGAGGCUCUCAGUUGCAGAAGAAGAAUGCAAAACAGAGGAAAAAAGUGUAAACUGUGAAGGGAAAAUCGUAGUGUUUAGCUGGAGACUCGCAGAGAAGGAAGGUAUAGAGGUUUUGUUUUUACAGCUGAGUGUUUUUCGAACUGUGUGUGAAGGUUGCUCAUUGUAAUAGUCUUUUUUGAUUCAGGUUUGGGAGGCAAAAUGACUUAAAAAACACAGAACUGCUAUAAGCAGGGUGUAAAAUAGGAUUAUAGGGCAUCCUCCUAGUCACAUCCAAUCGAUCUCUAAGAACAAAUUUGGAGAUUCCAUUUCAAGACAGAACUCAGAACAUGAAAUGUGGGUGCGCUUAGCCUAGGCUCACAAAUAUUGUCCACACAUGCCUAAUUUAAGCAUAUAACAUAUUAUACAACAUAGAAAUAUUAAAUAUUUCGGUAUUUUAUACCUAGCCAUCUUAAAUCCAAACAUGCGUGGCGUAGCACUGUAGUAAGCUUAAGCAGUUGUGUAGUCAAGUUCAACUUGGCUAUCAAUAUGAUUUCUGUGUCCAUAUAUUUUUGUAAAGGAAAAAACACCUAGACCGUAUAGGAAAAGACUCAGCACACAAGCACUGGAGCUUUUUUCAGCAAUACCUAAGAUGCAAAAUACAUGCAUCUUAAAUUUGUAUUGGAACUUACUGAGAUCUCGAACUGAGGCAAAAAAAGAAAGCAUGUAAGAUAUCAACAACAAGUUAAGUCAAUAGUAGAGUAUGCUCUAGCAGUUUAUUAUUUUGAUGAUAUUAUUGCUGUAACUAACAUUGAAAAGAAGUGUAACAUUUGUAUUCUUCUCAAGGCACUACUUGACUAGGAAAAGCUAGAUUCCUGUGACAUUUCUGGUUUUGCAAGAGCAAAUUGCACAGAGAAUAAAUCGUGUCAAUAUAUUUUGAUGUUUUCUCAUUGUCGUGGAGCAGUUUGUGCUUUAACAGUGCUUAGCGUAAUGGCUCUGGAAUUUCUGCAUAGAGAACACC